GACGAACGCUGGCGGCGUGCUUAAUACAUGCAAGUCAACUGAAGCACCGGUAGCAAUACUGGUGUGGAGGUGGCGCACGGGUGAGUAACACGUAGGUAAUCUGCCUUCAGGUCUGACAUAACCCCGGGAAACCGGGGCUAAUAUCAGAUGAUGCAGCGGCUUGACAUCAAGACAGUUGUUAAAGCUUCGGUGCCUGAAGGUGAGCCUGCGUCUGAUUAGCUAGUUGGCGGAGUAAUGGCCCACCAAGGCUACGAUCAGUAGCUGGUCUGAGAGGAUGAUCAGCCACACUGGAACUGAGACACGGGUCCAGACUCCUACGGGAGCAGCAGUAAGGAUAUUGCUCAAUGGGAGAAAUCCUGAAGCAGCAACGCCGCGUGAAGGAUGAAGGGCUUUUGCUCGUAAACUUC
rnacentral:rRNA from 1 species